ACCUAACAACUCCAGAUG
rnacentral:rRNA from 1 species